rnacentral:rRNA from 1 species
UCCGUAGGUGAACCUGCGGAAGGAUCAUCACAAAACGAAAGUAUUAAAAUGUGGGGGGUGGGUUGGAUUGAAAAAACUGGUUAAGGCGGGCUUUGCGUCCCUUCUCUUUGGUUAAAGAGAGGGGAACGAGUUCACACCUCCUGUUUCGGAAAAGACCCCCUCGAGGAAAUGAGAGAGAUGACGAAGCCACAGGUGGCAAUUUCGCCGCCGCUCGUGCCGGAUGGCGGGUGAACAACCCGGCUACCGGCGCUGCUCUUUUCCUGUGCUCUUGUGGAUUUCCACUUUUUACUAUUUUUCUUCUGAUGCGCUAAGGGUGCUUUGUGCACCCGACAGGAAAUGCGGAUAACUUUUAACAAUGGAUCUCUUGGCUCUCGCAUCGAUGAAGGACGCAGCGAAAUGCGAUAGGUAGUGUGAAUUGCAGAAUUCAGUGAAUCAUCGAAUCUUUGAACGCACAUUGCGCCCUCUGGUUAUCCCAGAGGGCACUCUUGUUUGAAGCCCCGGAAAGGACGGUCGCUCUGCGGCCAGGUUGCUGGACGUGCAAAAGUUUGGGGUCAUUCCGGAACAGCGUUUGAGGCCUUCCUCCGCAUCCAAGUCUGACAAACCCGAGCAGCUCCCGGGAGAAGGGUCCGCGAGGGAAUAUGCGGUUUCCCGCGUUUUUUUCGCGUCUGAACGUGUGUGCUUCCGUUCACAUGAUCCCCCCGGUGAUUCCAGGCCCAACAGGCACGCCGUCGUAAUGAGCAUCGACGGUGUACAUUGGUAUUAUAUGUAUCAAGUCGAACGACAAUACAUAUAAUAUUAAUGUAUAUAACUAUUUACGUGUUCUCAUGCGGCCCGGUCGUCCCAAAUGUAUCCCUUUACGUCGCCGGUGAAUAACCCUCCGUCUGUUACCUCUUUCUGUUGCUUUUCUGCGCGUUUGGUGCUUUCGUUAGGGUGUACUAUAUGUGCUUUUUAGUAUAUAGAAGGUUGGUGUCGCUUUGCAGUUUCUUAGGUAGUUGGAGAUUUCAGAACGACCGGGAGCGGAAGUAGCCACAUGGCAAAAAAUGACGUUCAGGCCAAUUUUAUUUUCACCAGAAUGGAAGGGGGUUUCAAAUCAAGAGGGAUUACCCGCUGAACUUAAGCAUAUCAAUAAGCGGAGGA